rnacentral:rRNA from 1 species
AUUGAACGCUGGCGGCAGGCCUAACACAUGCAAGUCGAACGAGUGGCGGACGGGAGAGUAAUGUAUGGGAAACUGCCUGAUGGAGGGGGAUAACUACUGGAAACGGUAGCUAAUACCGCAUACCAUCGGAUGUGCCACGAUGGGAUUAGCUAGUAGGUGGGGUAACGGCUCACCUAGGCGACGAUCCCUAGCGGGUCUGAGAGGAUGACCAGCAACACUGGAACUGUGAAACGGUCCAGACUCCUACGGGAGGCAGCAGUGGGGAAUAUUGCACAAUGGGCGAAAGCCUGAUGCAGUCAUGCCGCGUGUAUGAAGAAGGCCUUCGGGUUGUAAAGUACUUUCAGCGGGGAGGCGUUACCCGCAGAAGAAGCACCGGCUAACUCCGUGCCAGCAGCCGCGGUAAUAC